CACACACACUUGCUGACUCCCUCCCUCGCUACCUUGCUCUCUGCUCUCAGACACCACACCAGACUCAGACUUUUUUGUAAUUCCUUUUGCUCUGGAGUGUGUUUGUUAGUGCACAGAGAGACUGCCCUACACUGCUCUACACUGCUCCUGUGCAGGGUUGCCCAGGCACCAAGGCAGGCCUGUGUUAGUCCUCGUUAUGCACUGAUGCCUGCACAUCCAGCCCCAGCAAUUUAAAAAAAAAUUUUUGCAGUAAUUUUCAUUUCAGAUUUUGUGAUUUUUUUUUUUUCCCAAAUAUUUUCUUCUACCCGGCUAAACCCUUCCCCUUGUCCCCAGAUGCCGAAGGGAGGGAAGAGCACAGGGAUAGUGUCGGUGGACAAGAGGAGAUGUGGGAAGCAGAAAACGGAGGAGGAAGGCAAGAGCGUGAUCAGAGUGAGGACUGGCACUGGGCUGCGAGACGAAGAGGGAGCGAUGAGAAGAGCGAGAGGGAGGGAGAGAGACGGAGCGGGAGAUGGCCAAAUGGGAAUCAGGCAAAAUCGCGGGAAAGGAAACAAGAAAAAAAUGUCUAGACUCAUCCAACCUACACUGCAUCCCUGCUCCAAGACUCUAACUGCAGCCUCCCCUUCUUUGUGCUCCCGUCUCCCUGCGUUGCUGAAGGACUCCAGCAUAUUUCCAGUGAAGGGGGCCCUGGCAGCCAGGUUUCCAAGAAUUGGCUGCUGUGUAUGACUUCAUCAUCUGUGAAUAUGCAAGUCGUAUGGACUGUCCAGGUGCGUUUUGAAGGUUUCUUUGCUGGCAACUGGCUAAGGGAAAAGAGACCAAUCUGAACCAAAAUGAACCAAUAUUGCAGUAUAAUAAAAAUAUUUUUGGCUAAGUAGUUGCCUUUAAACGCUGCAACAAAAUACAUUAUUUAAAAAAAUCUCAAUAUUCCUUGCCGUAAAGUAGAAGGGCACUAAGCAUAUGGACAAUUGUGAACUAUCUAGCAGUAGGGGGAGCCAAGCACCAGAGUUUGGGGCUUUAGGGUAUUUCUUAAUUACCAAAUAAAACAAACACUGCUAUUUACCAAAAACUCAUUUAUACAGAGAAAUGUUAGUGCUCCUGUGGCUUAAAAUGAAAAUGCCUACAAUUUAUAUAAAAAGAGUUUUUCAAAUAUGAAAAUUACAUAAAGUUUUUAUGCGUCCAGUCAUUUUUCAUCUGAUGUAAACACAGACAAGAAGCAGUAAGAAAGCCAUAAAACCUGUUCCAAAAAAUUUCCUGCUCUUGUAUGUAUAAUAUUAAAUGGAAAAUAAAUGGAAAUAUUGUCAACUUAAUACAAAAAAACUGA